rnacentral:rRNA from 1 species
AUUGAACGCUGGCGGCAGACCUAACACAUGCAAGUCGAACGAGUGGCGGACGUGUGAGUAAUGUCUGGGAAACUGCCCGAUGGAGGGGGAUCACUCCUGUAAACGGUAGCUACUACCGCAUACCAUCGGAUGUGCCCAGAUGGGAUUAGCUUGUAGGUGAGGUAACGGCUCACCUAGGCGACGAUCCCUAGCUGGUAUGAGAGGAUGCCCACCAAAACUGGAACUGAGACACGGUCCGGAUGCCGACGGGAGGCAGCAGUGGGGAAUAUUGCAAAAUGGGGGAAAGCCUGAGGCAGCAAUGCCGCGUGGAUGAAGAAGGCCUGCGGUUGGUAAAGUACGUUCAGCGGGGAGGCGGUACACGCAGAAGAAGCACCGGCUAACUCCGUGCCAGCAGCCGCGGUAAUUC